rnacentral:rRNA from 1 species
AUGAACGCUGGCGGCGUGCCUAAUACAUGCAAGUCGAGCGAACGGACGAGAAGCUUGCUUUUCUGAUGUUAGCGGCGGACGGGUGAGUAACACGUGGAUAACCUACCUAUAAGACUGGGAUAACUUCGGGAAACCGGAGCUAAUACCGGAUAAUAUUUUGAACCGCAUGGUUCAAAAGUGAAAGACGGUCUUGCUGUCACUUAUAGAUGGAUCCGCGCUGCAUUAGCUAGUUGGUAAGGUAACGGCUUACCAAGGCAACGAUGCAUAGCCGACCUGAGAGGGGGAUCGGACACACUGGAACUUAGACACGGUCCAGACUCGUACGGGAGGCAGCAGUAGGGAAUCUUCCGCAUUGGGCGAAAGCCUGACGGAGCAAUGCCACGUGAGUGAUGAAGGUCUUCGGAUCGUAAAACUCUGUUAGUAGGGAAGAACAUAUGUGUAAGUAACUGUGCACAUCGUGACGGUACCUAAUCAGAAAGCCACGGCUAACUACGUG